rnacentral:rRNA from 1 species
AGCGAACGCUGGCGGCAGGCUUAACACAUGCAAGUCGAACGCUCACCUUCGGGUGGGAGUGGCAGACGGGUGAGUAACACGUGGGAACGUGCCCUUCGGUUCGGGAUAACCCUGGGAAACUAGGGCUAAUACCGGAUACGUCCGAGAGGAGAAAGGUUUACUGCCGAAGGAUCGGCCCGCGUCUGAUUAGCUAGUUGGUGGGGUAACGGCCUACCAAGGCGACGAUCAGUAGCGGGUCUGAGAGGAUGAUCAGCCACACUGGGACUGAGACACGGCCCAGACUCCUACGGGAGGCAGCAGUGGGGAAUAUUGGACAAUGGGCGCAAGCCUGAUCCAGCCAUGCCGCGUGAGUGAUGAAGGCCUUAGGGUUGUAAAGCUCUUUUGUCCGGGACGAUAAUGACGGUACCGGAAGAAUAAGCCCCGGCUAACUUCGUGCCAGCCGCCGCAGUAA